rnacentral:snoRNA from 1 species
UCAGGUGUGAUGAUAAAAUUUCUCUUGACGUUCUCCGUGAUUUUCAAGUAUUCAUACUGUCUGACCUGA